rnacentral:misc_RNA from 1 species
GAUGAAGAACGCAGCGAAAUGCGAUAAGUAGUGUGAAUUGCAGAAUUCAGUGAAUCAUCGAAUCUUUGAACGCACAUUGCGCCCCUUGGUAUCCCGAGGGGCAUGCCUGUUCGAGCGUCAUUUCACCACUCAAGCCUGGCUUGGUGUUGGGCGACGUCCUCUUUGGGGACGCGCCUCGAAACGCUCGGCGGCGUGGCACCGGCUUUAAGCGUAGCAGAAUCUUUCGCUUUGGAAGUCGGGGCCCCGUCUGCCGGAAGACCUGCUCGCAAGGUUGACCUCGGAUCAGGCAGGGAUACCCGCUGAACUUAAGCAUAUCAAUAAGGAGGA